AGUGAACGCUGGCGGUAGGCCUAACACAUGCAAGUCGAACGGCAGCACAGGAGAGCUUGCUCUCUGGGUGGCGAGUGGCGGACGGGUGAGGAAUACAUCGGAAUCUACUUUUUCGUGGGGGAUAACGUAGGGAAACUUACGCUAAUACCGCAUACGACCUACGGGUGAAAGCAGGGGACCUUCGGGCCUUGCGCGAUUGAAUGAGCCGAUGUCGGAUUAGCUAGUUGGCGGGGUAAAGGCCCACCAAGGCGACGAUCCGUAGCUGGCCUGAGAGGAUGGUCAGCCACACUAGAACUGAGACACGGUCCAGACUCCUACGGGAGGCAGCAGUGGGGAAUAUUGGACAAUGGGCGCAAGCCUGAUUCAGCCAUACCGCGUGGGUGAAGAAGGCCUUCGGGUUGUAAAGCCCUUUUGUUGGGAAAGAAAUCCAGCUGGCUAAUACCCGGUUGGGAUGACGGUACCCAAAGAAUAAGCACCGGCUAACUUCGUGCCAGCCGCCGCGGUAA
rnacentral:rRNA from 1 species